rnacentral:rRNA from 1 species
AUUGAACGCUGGCGGCAUGCCUAACACAUGCAAGUCGAACGGCAGCACGGUAACUUGUUGCUCGUGCCGAUGGCCAAACGCGGGAGUAUUAGAUAGGCACAUGAACCUAAUUGUUGGAUGGGGAGAACGAAGCGAAACUUAUACUGCAACCGCACAACGGCUGAGAGUGAAGGCACUUCAUGCUCCGCCCUUGCGCGUUUGCAGAUGGCGGAUUAGCUAGUUGGUGGGGUAAAGGCCUACCAAGGCGACGAUCAGUAGCUGGUCUGAGAGGACGACCAGCCACACUGGAACUGAGACACGGCCCAGACUCCUACGGGAGGCAGCAGUGGGGAAUAUUGGACAAUGGGCGAAAGCCUGAUCCAGCCAUGCCGCGUGUGUGAAGAAGGCCUUCGGGUUGUAAAGCACUUUUGUCGGGAAAGAAAACCAGGGGCCUAAUACCGCGGGGUGAUGACGGUACCGGAAGAAUAAGCACCGGCUAACUACGUG